GAAUUGAUCAACAAGCUGGAACGGCAGCUCAAUAAAGUGCAGCACAAAGGCGAAGCCCGUCGUGCCACCGCAUCGGUGAAAGAUGCCAGCUUCGUCGAAGCAGAAGAAGAGUAGUCCCUUACAUUGAGUGUAUCGCCAACGCGCCUUCGGGCGCGUUUU
rnacentral:sRNA from 2 species